GGCCAGACUCCUACGGGAGGCAGCAGUAGGGAAUUUUCGUCAAUGGGCGCAAGCCUGAACGAGCAAUGCCGCGUGAACGAGGAAGGUCUUCGGAUCGUAAAGUUCUGUUGAAGGGGAAAAAGAGCGGAGAGAGGAAAUGGUCUCCGAUUGAUAUUACCCUUCGAGGAAGUCACGGCUAACUACGUGCCAGCAGCCGCGGUAAUACGUAGGUGGCAAGCGUUAUCCGGAUUUACUGGGUGUAAAGGGCGUGUAGGCGGGGAAGCAAGUCAGAUGUGAAAACCACGGGCUCAACCUGUGGCCUGCAUUUGAAACUGUUUUUCUUGAGUACUGGAGAGGCAGACGGAAUUCCUAGUGUAGCGGUGAAAUGCGUAGAUAUUAGGAGGAACACCAGUGGCGAAGGCGGCUUACUGGACUGUAACUGACGUUGAGGCUCGAAAGCGUGGGGAGCAAACAGGAUUAGAUACCCGAGUAC
rnacentral:rRNA from 1 species